GGCAGUGUGGUGUAGUGGUUUGAGCGUUGGACUAUGACCUCUGGAGACCAGGGUUCAAACGCCCGCUCGGCCA